rnacentral:tRNA from 1 species
GGGGCUGUGGCUCAGUGGGAAAGCACUUGCCUAGCAUGUAUGAGGCACUGAGUUCGAUCCUCAGCACCACA